CAGCGCGUUAGGCUGUCUCCAACAAGGUUCGGUAAACCGACCUGUACGCUAGAAAUAGCGUCCCGAGACGUCCUUGAGGCCUCCAACAAGAUCCGCUAUACCCUCUAGUAAAAUUUAGGGUGCGUUUGUCGUCCGCUAUCUGUAGCGUGCUAGUUUUGCUCGCUAUCCGCUGUUCACUCCCGCGCUGCCUUCGUUCGUUGUCUCCCGCGCCGGCUCGGAACCCUCUCGUCGUCGCGCUCACUGUGUAGCACAUCCUCUCCGGUGUACGGCUCCAACGACAAGCUCAUGCUGUCAGGGCUCAAGAUGAUGUGUGCGGAGUCGGAUGGAGUGGCUUCGCAUGCUGGACGUUGGCGGCGUUGUGCUUGAAGUUGAAGACGUUGUGGUCAACCACGUCGUCGCUUCCAGACCGAAUCUGGUUUUGGGCACGCAGGCAAGCAAUAUGUCUUCAGUUGUUUGCAGACCUAAUCUGAAUCCCUCAUCGUACUUCCUCCUCACGACAUAACAAGAUUCAUCAUUUAGCUGCACAUGUAAUGGAAUAGAUUUAUCCAUUUCCUAAGUGAGAUUUAACCAUUUCUCAAGUGUUCCUAGCUAUUGUUCAGAUUAUGUCUAUUCUGUACAUGUGCGAUGAGGGAUUCAGUAAAGUGUUCCUAGCCAUUUUUGAGGAUGAAUUUAGUGGUCAACACUGAUAUGUCAGUUACUUUCAUUAAUGUAUGCAAUAUAAAUUUUGGUUAUUGUUUUAUGUGAUGGUAAA